rnacentral:rRNA from 1 species
GGUCAAGCUACAAAGGGCAGAUGGUGGAUACCUAGGCACACAGAGCGGGCCGCAAAAAUGAAAGGGUGCCGCG